rnacentral:rRNA from 1 species
UACGGAAGGCAGCAGUGGGGAAUAUUGCACAAUGGGCGCAAGCCUGAUGCAGCCAUGCCGCGUGUAUGAAGAAGGCCUUCGGGUUGUAAAGUACUUUCAGCGGGGAGGAAGGCGAUGCGGUUAAUAACCGCGUCGAUUGACGUUACCCGCAGAAGAAGCACCGGCUAACUCCGUGCCAGCAGCCGCGGUAAUACGGAGGGUGCAAGCGUUAAUCGGAAUUACUGGGCGUAAAGCGCACACAGGCGGUCUGUUAAGUCAGAUGUGAAAUCCCCGGGCUUAACCUGGGAACUGCAUUUUGAAACUGGCAGGCUUGAGUCUUGUAGAGGGGGUAGAAUUCCAGGUGUAGCGGUGAAAUGCGUAGAGAUCUGGAGGAAUACCGGUGGCGAAGGCGGCCCCUGGGACAAAGCUGACGCUCAGGUGCGAAAGCGUGGGGAGCAAACAGGAUUAGGAUACC